GCCGCUGUAGACCAAAGUCGGUCGCUUUCUGUUCCUGACUGGGAUGCUCGUGUUUUCAGAGAGGCGGAGGUUCAACUCCUCUCAGCGGCG